AUACGGAGGAUUCGAGCGUUAUCCGGAUUUAUUGGGUUUAAAGGGUGCGUAGGCGGAUUUGUAAGUCAGUGGUGAAAGUUUCCGGCUUAACCGGGAGAAUGCCGUUGAGACUGCAGGUCUUGAGUGCAAGCGAGGUAAGUGGAAUGUGUUGUGUAGCGGUGAAAUGCAUAGAUAUAACACAGAACACCGAUUGCGAAGGCAGCUUACUAGUAUGUAACUGACGCUGAGGCACGAAAGCGUGGGGAGCAAACAGGAUUAGAUACCCUGGUAGUCCACGCAGUAAACGAUGAAUACUAGCUGUAUGCGAUAGACAGUAUGCGGCGGAGCGAAAGCAUUAAGUAUUCCACCUGGGGAGUACGUCGGCAACGAUGAA
rnacentral:rRNA from 1 species